rnacentral:rRNA from 1 species
UACGUAGGGUGCAAGCGUUGUCCGGAAUUAUUGGGCGUAAAGAGCUCGUAGGCGGUCUGUCGCGUCGGAUGUGAAAAUCCAGGGCUCAACCCUGGACCUGCAUUCGAUACGGGCAGACUAGAGUUCGGUAGGGGAGACUGGAAUUCCUGGUGUAGCGGUGAAAUGCGUAGAUAUCUGGAGGAACACCGGUGGCGAAGGCGGCAUCCUGGACCAAUAUUGACGCUGAGGAGCGAAAGCCAGGGGAGCAAACGGG